rnacentral:lncRNA from 1 species
UCUUGCAGUCAUGGCUAACCAUGACUUACUGGUUCCACUCUAUGCUUCAGUUCCUCUCUACCUGGGUGAGUUGGUGGAGUCAAGUAUGCCAUUAUUCUCUGAACUCAAUCACCAACACCUCAAUCUUCUGUUCUCCAGGUAAUCAGUAACAUAAAUAAUGCAUUUUUGCUCCUGUAAUAAUAUCUUAGAAUUUUUUUUAGUGUGUUUCUUUUAAAAUGCCUAAGUCUCAGUUCUUUGGCUUAUAGGUAUUUUGUAUCCUGUGGGAAUGAAGAAUGAUUGCAAUUUAGGAGGAACCAUGAAACAAAAGAUGUCAUAGCACAGACACUAUAACAGCAAUGGUAGUCAAGUAGGUAGUUUUUACCUCAUAGUGUCUAAUCAUAAAUAGAAG